rnacentral:lncRNA from 1 species
ACAGAACAUCCCGUCACCCGCUGACACAGAACAUCUCACCCGUCACACGGAACAUCCCGUCACCCGCUGACACAGAACAUCUCACCCGUCACACGGAACAUCCCGUCACCCGCUGACACGGAACAUCUCCCCCAUCACACGGAACAUCCCAUCACCUGCAGACACAGAACAUCCCAUCACCCGUCACACGGAACAUCCCAUCACCCAUCACACAGAACAUCUCACCCAUCACACGGAACAUCUCACCCAUCACACGGAACAUCCCGUCACCCGCUGACACAGAACAUCUCACCCGUCACACGGAACAUCCCAUCACCCGUCACAUGGAACAUCCCAUCACCCAUCACACGGAACAUCUCACCCAUCACACGGAACAUCCCGUCACCCGCUGACACGGAACAUCUCACCUGUCACACGGAACAUCCCAUCACCCGUCACAUGGAACAUCCCAUCACCCAUCACACGGAACAUCUCACCUGUCACACGGAACAUCCCGUCACCCGCUGACACAGAACAUCUCACCCAUCACACGGAACAUCCCAUCACCCGCUGACACAGAACAUCUCACCCGUCACACGGAACAUCCCGUCACCUGUAACACGGAACAUCCCGUCACCCAUCACACGGAACAUCCCAUCACCCGUCACACGGAACAUGCCAUCACCCGUCACACGGAACAUCCCGUCACCUGUCACACGGAACAUCCCAUCACCCGUCACAUGGAACAUCUCACCAAUCACACAGAACAUCUCACCCAUCACAUGGAACAUCCCGUCACCCGUCACACGGAACAUUCCGUCUCCCGCUGACACGGAAUAUCUGAUCACCCAUCACAUGGAACAUCCCAUCACCCACUCACACGGAACAUCCGAUCACCCGUCACACGGAACAUCCUGUCACCAGUCACACAGAACAUCCCGUCACCCAUCACACGGAACAUCCCAUCACCCGUCACACGGAACAUCCCGUCAC